UACGUAGGGUGCAAGCAUUAAUCGGAUUUAUUGGGCGUAAAGAGCUCGUAGGCGGUGUGUCACGUCGGCCGUGAAAACCUGCAGCUUAACUGUGGGCGUGCGGUCGAUACGGGCAUCACUGGAGUUCGGCAGGGGAGACUGGAAUUCCCGGUGUAGCGGUGAAAUGCGCAGAUAUCGGGAGGAACACCGAUGGCGAAGGCAGAUCUCUGGGCCGUAACUGACGCUGAGGAGCGAAAGCAUGGGGAGCGAACAGG
rnacentral:rRNA from 1 species